GUUUAUGGGGAAACAGACCGAUAUGACCGGAGGUAACUUUGCGCUAUUGCCGUUUGGGUCGGGCAGGAGGAUAUGCCCGGCAUACAACCUCGGCCUUAAGAUUGUUCGAACAACGUUGGCUAAUCUGUUGCAUGGAUUUGAGGUGGAAUUGGAGGAGGGCAUGAGGGCUGAGGAUGUAAGCUUAGAGGAACAGUACGGACUCGCCACAAAUCCAAAACACCCUGUUUCCAUCAUUGUGAAACCUACACUUCCUGCCCAUCUAUACUAAAUUAGUUUCUCAGUAAUUGCUAAAUACUUUCAUCAACAAUUCAAGAUGAUAUAUAUGGAUAUCUUGUGUUUGUGUGUACACAUAUAUAUGUGAAUUAUAUUGAUGAUAUAUGAAUGGCCCAGAUUUGGUGAAAUCCAGCUUCCCCUAUAUUUUGCAGUUGAGAUAUGCAUGUCUUUCAAUUUCAUUAGGAAUUAUGUUAUGUGUAUAUAUCUUUUUUGUUUNGUUUCCACCCUCCGACGCCGCUUACAGCCUGGAGUCACCGCAUACUCCAGCCUGCCUUUCUCUCUAUUUCAAUUCGCUUAUCAUUCUAUUUUGCUAUUCCGAUACUGACUUGAGCGUCGGAGGCUCUACGGUCGACACCCCCACCCGGUGCUCAACCUAGGGCUCUUACGUGUUCUUGUGUUGACAGGUUGCUAGUGCCCAAACUAUCCGGACGUGCAGACGUCAACUUCAAUUGUAGAUUUUAGCCUCUACAAUAACUAUAAAAUUGUCAUUUAAUUUUGAAAGUGAUUCUCAAUUGAAAGUUGUUUUUUUAAUGUAUUAUAGAUCAUAGAUUAUAGAUAUAGAUAUAGGUUAAUAAUUUACAUUACACGUACCCUCCAGCUGGACAAAAUCAACGCUACAAGUUGUAGAUCAAAAAGAAAGAGUAGUUACCAAUACAUUUCACGCGAUAAACUACAUUUUUUUGUUUAGACAUUGGAAUAGAAAAUUCAACAUUUUCUCCGAGGAAAAUCUCGUUUUCUUACUCCAUUUACAACAAAUGUCACAUCCCACAGUUGAAGUCUAUUUUUCUAAAUUACAAAUCACCCAAAACAAAAAAAUAUUUUUCACUCUGUUUUAGCCAAUACCGACCUCGCUACGCAGCAAACAUGUGUACAGUAAAAUAAAAUAAACACAGAGAGAGACUAUAAGUAUCCAAUAUUUCGUGAACAAAAAAUAAACGCAGUUAAACCCACAACUUCUCUGCAAAACAUCCAGCAUCACAUUUUCACUCACAAAUGGAAAAUCCCUGGUUACUAUUAGCCCUACUUUCCGCCCUUGCAAUAGCCUUCAUCUCAAAGAUAGUAUUCAAAACUGAUCAAAAACUCGGGCCGCCCGGUCCAAAACCAUGGCCUAUAAUAGGCAAUCUGAACCUUCUUGGCUCAAUCCCACAUCAAUCCCUCCACCAUUUAUCCCAAAAAUACGGCGAAAUAAUGUUACUAAAGUUGGGAAAAUUUCCAGUGGUGGUGGCAUCAUCACCCAAGAUGGCCGAGCAGUUCCUCAAGGUGCACGAUGCAGCCUUCGCGUCGAGGCCUCCCGCACUUGCCGCCGGCAAGCACAUCAGCUACGACAACUCUGACGUGUCCUUCUCUCCCUACGGCCCAUACUGGCGAGAAGCGCGUAAAAUAUUGAUGUCGGAGCUCUUGGGCACCAAAAAACUGGACCAGUUUGAGCAAAUUCGCGUUGAGGCGAGGCGUUCUUUCUUCUCACGUCUCAAAGCCCUGUCGGGGAAGCCGGUUGUGCUCAGAGAGCAUCUAUCGCGUUACAUUAUGUCGACAAUUUGUAGGAUGGUUAUGACGAAUGAAUAUGUUGGCGAUAGCUCUAUUAUAGAUGAUGGUGGCAUGGCGGAGAUGAUGCGCGACUGGUUUGUGCUCACUGGAGUGUUCAAUAUCGGGGACUGGAUACCGUGGCUCGGCCCUCUUGAUCUGCAGGGCUACGUUAGGAGAAUGAAGGCUUUCCGCAAGAAAUCAGACAGUUUUUUUGGGUAUGUGAUUGAUGAUCACAUAGCUAGAAGAAGAGACGGCGCCGACAAAGAUUUUGUUGAUGCCUUGCUAGAUUUAGCUGAGGAUCCAAAUGCUCAACUUCAUCUCACAAGGGACUCUCUCAAGUCAUUGAUAAUGGUACUAGUUUCUCACAUUUUUUAUUUUUAAUUCACCAUUUUUCAAAGCUAGACUGUUUCAUGUAUAACUGCACUCUCUCUACAUAUAUUAUUGUAGAACGUUGUACUUGGCGGCCCAGACACCUCAAUCACAACAGUGGAAUGGGCCUUACACGAAAUGUUCAGACAACCGCGCAUAUUUGAGAGAGCGAGGGCAGAGCUAGAUGCAGUGAUCGGCAGGGAUAGAUGGGUGGAGGAGAAUGACUUCACUCAGUUGCCGUACGUUGAUGCCAUCAUCAUGGAGACAUUCCGCUUGCAUCCAAUUGCUACGCUUUUAGCUCCCCAUUACGCGAUUCAGGAUUGCAACGUUGCAGGUAUAAGAGAUUAGUUUCUUACACAUGCAUUUAUAUACCAAGUAUGAGACGUAACACAAAAAUAUUGCAGGAUACAACAUAUCAAAAGGGACGAGCAUCCUCAUAAAUACAUGGAGCAUAGGCAGGGAUCCCAACACUUGGGAUGCGGCUGAGGAAUUCUUGCCGGAGAGGUUUAUGGGGAAACAGACCGAUAUGACCGGAGGUAACUUUGCGCUAUUGCCGUUUGGGUCGGGCAGGAGGAUAUGCCCGGCAUACAACCUCGGCCUUAAGAUUGUUCGAACAACGUUGGCUAAUCUGUUGCAUGGAUUUGAGGUAGAAUUGGAGGAGGGCAUGAGGGGCGAGGAUGUAAGCUUAGAGGAACAGUACGGACUCGCCACAAAUCCAAAACACCCUGUUUCCAUCAUUGUGAAACCUACACUUCCUGCCCAUCUAUACUAAAUUAGUUUCUCAGUAAUUGCUAAAUAUUUUCAUCAACAAUUCAAGAUGAUAUAUAUGGAUAUCUUGUGUUUGUGUGUACACAUAUAUAUGUGAAUUAUAUUGAUGAUAUAUGAAUGGCCCAGAUUUGGUGAAAUCCAGCUUCCCCUAUAUUUUGCAGUUGAGAUAUGCAUGUCUUUCAAUUUCAUUAGGAAUUAUGUUAUGUGUAUAUAUCUUUUUUGUUUUUUUGAGAACCAUGCAUUAUGUAUAUUAAUUACAUGAGCAUCUGUCGAUUUCUCCAUUUAACUAUAAUGAAUACUAUUUGACCUUUGUUCCUUCCUAUAGGCUACAACUAGUGGCGGCUCAAUAUUUUUGGAUAUGCUUAGGUGGCUAAAGAAAUAGGGUCUACUAUAUAUAAUAUAUUAAUUAAUUCAUGACUAAAUUAAAUUGCUUUUUUUAGAACCCUUAUUUGAGGCUAUUAUUAUUAAAAUAAGAUUUUAUUCAAAGAAGAAAAGGAAGAAGGAACCUAAAAUCCUUGAAAGCACAGGAAAGAGACUAAAGGUCAAGCCUCGUUAAAACCUCUCAGAGCGAGAGGAAAAAGAGUAUUCGUCUAGAAAAUCAACAAAAAUGAUAAACGCAGACAGAAGAAAAGUGAGAAUACUUCAGGAACUCCGACCAAACCGUCGCGCCCUAGUAGACCCUGCAUUUCCCGAGCCGAAAUAAUAAAGGAACAGAGACCUCGAAGGCUCGAACUAAAGAACUUAUAAUAUAACAAAGCAGCGCAACGACAACUAACCAAGUACCCCGCAAUUAAACCACAACCCUUCAAUCAAGCAAAUUAAUUAAUCAUUAAUUUAUUGUAUUUAAAUAAUAUUAAUUAAUUAAUAGUAUAUAGUUAAUUAAUAAUUAUAUAAGAGUUAAUUGUUUUAGUUAAAUAAGAGUAAAUAAAUAAAAUUUAUAGGGGCACGUUUCGGCCUUCCGCCACCGAAUAAAUAUUAGUAUUUGAUUUAAAAUAGUGUAUAAUAAUAAUAUUAUCAUCUUAAUGAAUAUAAUAUUAAAUUUAGUGAGUAUUUUAUAUAGUAAUAAUUAAAUACGUAUAAUAAUAAUUAAAUUUAUAGAUUGUAAAGCAAAUAAUUGAAGUCAAUCUCAUUUUGAGAAAAUAACACUAAACCAUCAAUAUAAAAAAAUUAAUAGCCACCAUUUAAUAUAAUAAUUUGAGCUCUUAAAAUUUCAAAUUAUGUUAUUAAUUAUUAUAAAUUUAUAUUUAAAUAGCCCAAAAUUAAUUUAAAAAUCAAGAAAAAUACGAAUAAUAUAAAGACAAAAUAUAACAACAAAUAUGUUUAUAUAAACAAAUAAAUAAAAUUGUAAACAUGAUUUAUUUAAUAUUUUAAAUUCUAAUUUUUAGAUAUAUAACUAAUUUUUUAUUUACAAAUUCAUGUUAAAAUUAAUUCAAUUCUUGUCAUUAAUUGCAUAAAAAACUAUUACUAUAAUUUAAAAAUAUUAAAUUUAAAAUAAUUAUAAUUAAGGAAUUUUGUAAACUCUUUUGAAAUGAAAAAAAUAUCUUCUAGUUACUCUUUCACCAACAAAAGAAAACAAAAAAAAAAUAUGAUGUUCAACAUAGAGAUAAAUGGGAUAAAACAAAAAUUAAUUUUGACACUUUAAACGAUCAUAAUUUAUUCGCUGCAAAUUUAUUGUUAAAUAUUUUUACAUCGAAUUAAAUAUCUUCUCGUAAUCUUUUAUUUUAAAUCCAUAUUGAACAUUUUUUCAUGAAUCGAAGUUAACAAUUAAAAAAAAAGAAUCAAAGAGAAGAAGAAAAAGAGAGAAAAAAUUGAUGGGAAAUUUUUAAGAGAAAAGAGAAAAUUUGAAGGUAAAAAAAUUCAUCUUUUAUACCUCAUCCGUCCACGGAAGAACUUUGUACUUUUCCUUUUUGGAACGUCCACAAAAGAACUUCAUAUCUAUUUUUGGACUAUAUCCCACAACUUAUAAAUAUUUCAUUGAUCUUUAUUUUUCACAUUUUCUCCACUCUAAUCAAUACUAAUUAAAGCAUACUUUCAUCAUUCGCAAUAAUACACUCAACAAUAUUUUCUCGACUCUCAAUACACUCAGUCAGAGACGGAUUCACAACUCCUAGUACGGGGCCACGUGCCCCAUAAUUUUAUUUUAUUUUAUUAUAUUAUAUAUAUAUAUAUAUAUAUAUUAAUUUUAUUAUAGGGUUAAGUAUCAAAUAAGCCCCUAUUAUAGUGGCCCUUAUCACGUUUGGCUCCCUAUAGUCGAAGUUGGUCCAAUUAAACCCUCAUACUACCUAAAAUCGAACAAUUGGGCUCUCUGCCCUAACGGUAACUUAACAACUGUUAACUAUUUUUAAUUUUUUAGUGUGUAAGAAUUCAAAAAAAGAAAAGAAAAAAAAACGCUGAAAGCUAGAAAUUUACACGCAAUUAACGCUUUAUCUAGAACUAUAAGCAAAACUUUGAUUACACUUCACCACAAAUUUAACAUCUUUAAUUUUUUUUUCUUUGGCAGUUCCAAAUAGCCAAUACCAACCUCCUACAUAAUAACGUGUACUAAUAAAAUAAAAAGUGGAAGAUCCCUAAUUAAGGUUACGGUUUAAAAUUAAGGUCUGAUGGGGACGCAUUUUUUCUGAUUCCGCACGAACUUUCAUUUCUCAAUUAAUUUGCUCUUAUGUUUUUAAUCCAGCAAGAGAAGAGCUAUUCGAAGGUUCAGCUGUCCAAGUGUCAUACUCCCUCCGUCCCAAAUGAAAUGUCCUGUUUUCCUUUUUGGACUGUCUCAAACGAAAUGUCCUGUUUCGUUUUUUGGCAAUACACUUUCUCUCUAUACUUAAUAUUUAAAUAAUUUCCACCAACUCACUUUAUCUACUUUAUAUACAUUUCUUAAUCUCCGUGUCGAAAAGAAAUGAGACAUUUCGUUUGGGACGGAGGGAAUAUUUACUUUAAAACUCUUGACAUAUAUAGAUCCCACAAAUAAAUGCAUAAACUAGCAACUUCUCUUCAACAACUAUUCAUUCACAAAUGGAGAGUUCCUGGUUACUGUUAGCCCUGGUUUCUGCACUUGCAAUAUCCCUGAUUUCAAAGAUGUUCAAAACUCAACCACGGCCGGAGCAGAAACUCCGGCCACCCGGUCCAAAACCAUGGCCUAUAAUAGGCAAUUUGAACCUUGUUGGCUCACUCCCACACCAGUCCCUUCACCAUUUAUCCCAAAAAUAUGGCGAAAUAAUGCUACUAAAAUUCGGAAAUUUUCCAGUUGUGGUUGCAUCAUCGCCUGAGAUGGCCAAACAGUUCCUGAAGGUGCACGAUGCAGUCUUCGCCUCAAGGCCUGCACUGGCCGCCGGCAAACACAUCAGCUACAAUUACUCCGACGUAUCCUUCGCCCCCUACGGCCCCUACUGGCGAGAAGCGCGUAAAAUAUUCUUGUCCGAGGUGUUGAACGCUAAAAAACUCGAAACUUCGGAGCAGAUUCGCGUUGAGGAGAAUCGCCGUUUCCUCUUACGUCUGCUGGGGAAGCCGGUCGUGCUCAGAGACCAUUUAUCGCGUUACACUCUAUCAACGAUAUGUAGGAUGCUAUUCAGAGACGAGCUCUUUAGUGAAUCCAAGUUGCGAGAAAUGAUGAGAGAGUGGUUUCUUCUCAGUGGAGCGUUCAAUAUCGGUGACUGGAUUCCGUGGCUCAACUUCCUCGAUCUGCAGGGAUACGUGAAGAGGAUGAAGAGCUUACGCGCUGAAAUGGAUUGCUUUUACGACACUCUCAUUGAUGAUCACUUAGCUACAAGAGCUGCUGCCCAGAAAGAUUUUGUAGAUGUUUUGCUGCGGAUAGUUGACGAUCCUGACGCUCAAGUGGAACUCACCAGGGAUUGUGUCAAGGCGUUGACAAUGGUAUGCUACUACUUUCACAUCAAUAAUUACUAUUACCAAGGAAAGGAUUACUUCACAUAAAAACCACAUUAUAAAAAUUCUCAACACCUUGCACUUAUAUAUUAUUUUAAUUGCAUUAUUAAACUUAUAAAAUAAUUGCCCAGAACCCGUGGUUCUCGCUUCAAAUCCUAUGAAGGGCCCAAGUUACUUUGUAGGUUAAUUAAGGGGUAUUUAUUUUGUAUGAUUGAAUAUUUUUAUUUUCGAGAUUAAGAUUAAUUCUUCAAUUUCUCUAUUAAUGUGAUAUAAAUCAAGCAAAAGUACGUAGCUUAAAUGGUUGAAUUAACCAAUGGUUAUAGGAGGGGUGGGCUACUGUGAGAGCACAUCUUAAAAUAAGAAAUAAGAGCAAUUUUUAAUGUAUGAAUUUUAUGUAUAAUACGUAUGAAUUCGCUGUAUAAAGGUAUGGAUUGCAAAAAAUAAAUUUUUGCUACAUUUGGGAUUUGAACUGAGGACCAUAAAUCCAUCCAAGAGGAUUACGAAUCAACCGUAGAUCUUGAUGAUCUAAGGUCUGAAAAAGAUUCAUAUUUUAUAUCUUAAGAAAUGCUCUUAUUUUAGCCCUGACCGGGAUAUCUCAAAGUUCCAAUACAUCUAACUUAACAAGUGAUUAGUCUUCUGUCAAAGUUAAUACUCACAAGUAAACGCCCCUUACGUUAAGUGCAAAAGUGACAAAUCUUAAAAAAAUCGAGUUUUCGCUAUUAUCCAAAUCAUAAAAUAACUUUCAAUAAUAAUCAAUUUAAUAAUUUAAUAUAAAUUAUAGAGGCAAAUAUUAAAAUAAUCAUUUUAUUUUAGCAAAGGUUAAUAAUAACCAUAAAAAUAAAAAUAUAUCAAUUAUAAACACUCUUAUCUAAAUAUCCUUGUAUUAUUUUAUUUUAAUAUUUAUUAAUAAUUUAAAAUUUAUUUUAAUAGAAUUGAAACCUAAAAAGAGAAAAAGAAAAAUAACUCCCCACAAAUUCCCGUCCACUAGCUUCACAGUUUCCCAAACCUAGGCCCUCAUCCCUUUCUAACUAGCUCGCGCAGCCGGACAAGCGAGUCGUCGAGUUUCCGUCUCAAUCGUCGCCGCCCAACAGCUCUGUAUUACACCUCACUGGAAACCCCUGACCCUGAGCCCAAGCUUCGUCCCCUCAGACACUGACGCUGACACCGCACCUCUAGCGACGCGUCUCAACGACGCCAAAAUCCCACCGCCGUACAAUGUCGGCAUUUAGCUUAAGGGGAUGGUGGUUGGAGGGAUAGCGGUGGGAUAGAGGUAAUUGGCCGAGAAGAAGAAGUAGAUAGCAACGUGAUUUAGAAACUUGCAGAGAAGAAGAAUGGGGGUUGCCAUAAACUUAGACGAAGCUUGCAGAGAAGAAGGGGAUGAGAAAUUGAGGAGGGGUAACUAGUCAACGUAGGGGUUGAUUUUCUCAUUUUUUAGUUUUUCUGUAUACAUUUUAUUUUUUAUUAGUAUAAUUUUAUUGAGGAUAAAUUAGUCUAUUUACAUAAAAAGUGAUUAUAAUUAGUAUAGUAUGUUUUUAUUUCUAUGGUCAUUAUUAAUUUUUUACUAAAUAAAGUGGUUAUUUAUUACUAUUAACCCUUAAACGGUUAAACCUAAUCACUUUUUGUGUAAAUAUACUACUUUACCCUUAAUGAAAAUAUAAUAAAAAAUAAAUAAAAUAAAAAUAUGAUUAAAAAAUAUGAAAGAAAAGAAAAACUUUAGAAACUACCCACUACCCAAAACCGCCGCCCCACCCUUUUCCCCUUCCCCCAAAUUCCAUUCUUCUCUCUGUAAUUACUCUUGUGACUCUUGUCAGGCCAUAGAAAUUUUCCCUCACACAGUGAGUUCUUCCACUGCCAUUCUUCUCACUAUCUCACCAUCAUCAGAUGCUUCUUCGAGUAAUUACAUAACUCUUCAUAGUUAUUUUUGAAAAAGGCAUGAUUAAUUGCACGAGAGAGAGAGAGACAUGUGUAAAAAUUGAUGAUGCAGACGGUUGGUGCCGCCGGCGAUGGAGAUGCUAGCGGCUUGAGAUCGGUGCAACAGAGAGGGUGGCGGAGGAAUUGCAUUGGGAUGCUGGAGGCGACGGGAAUCGUUUUGGGUUUUGGGGGGUCGGGGGGGGGGGGGUUUGAAACUUUUUGAUACUCCCUCCGUCCCAUUAAAGUUGCAACAUUUCUAUUUUAGGUGUCCCACUAAAGUUGGCCACUUUCUAAAAAUGGCAAAAGUUUACUUUAAUUAAGUCAACAAUUACUCACUAAUUUGGUCAACAAUUGUAGGCCACUUUCUAAAAAUGCCAAAAUUACUUUAAUUAAGUCAACAAUUACUCACUAAUUUGGUCAACAAUUGUAGGCCACACUCUAUUAAAAUAUAUAACACUCAAUUUCUUAAUCUCCGUGCCGAAACGAAUGUUGCCAACUUUAGCGGGACGGAGGGAGUAUAUUUUUUUCAAAUUUCAGUUUUUAUAAUUUAAAUUUCAGGCUUUUAAAUUCUUGUUAAAAGUCUGAAACGAAUACCUCUACAUUUUCAUAGACUUUUAAAAGUCUUGAACGAAUACACCCAAAUUUUAAAAGUCUGCAGAAAUCUAUUAAAAUCCUGAACGAAUACACCCCCUUUAAUAUCUUUUUAUUUUUAUGGUUAUUAUUAACUUUUUGUUAAAUAAAAUGGUUAAUUAGAGAUAUUAACACUAAAUUAUACUAUGCACAUAUAUAUGUCUAAUAAACCUAUCGUAGAAACUAGGAACAAUGCUACUUUUUUCAGAACUUUGGAGCAGUGCUUUUUUAUAUGUACAAACAAUCAUUAAAAGUUGAUACAUGUCCCACUUCAAAAUUUCUCUUUUUCGUUGUUGUUGUUUUUUAUUUUUAUUUUUAGGGAACCUUCAAAAUUCUUGAAAGAAAAAGUUUGUGUAAUUAAUACAUGCAGAACCUAGUACUUGGAGGCACGGAUACAUCGGCUGCAACAAUCGAAUGGGCUUUACACGAAGUAAUGAGACAACCGCACAUAGUUGAGAGGGCGAAAGAGGAGUUAAACACCGUGAUUGGAAGAGAGAGAUGGGUGGAAGAGAACGACUUGGCUCAAUUACCAUACAUAGAUGCAAUCAUCAUGGAAACCUUCCGACUACAUCCAAUUGCUACACUCUUAGCCCCUCGUUAUGCAACUGAUGAAUGUGAAGUUGCAGGCUACAACAUAUCAAAGGGGACGACGGUCCUCAUUAAUGCGUGGAGCAUAGGGAGACACCCUAUCUCGUGGGAUACACCUCAAGCGUUCUUGCCGGAUAGGUUUAUGGGAACAAAGAUGGAUAUGAUAAAUGGAAGGCAUUUCGCUCUUCUGCCAUUUGGCUCGGGCAGGCGGGGAUGCCCCGGCUACGAUCUCGGACUCAAGAUUGUUCGACUAACAUUGGCUAAUUUGUUGCACGGGUUUCAGCUGAAAUUCGACGAUCCUCAAGGUAUAUGCUUGGAGGAAGAAUAUGGACUCUCAACACAUCCUAAACACCCUCUUACAAUCAUCUUCACACCUACACUUCC
rnacentral:lncRNA from 1 species